CCCACUUCCCAGAUUUCCGGUGGCUGAGAAUAUAUUGAUUCAAAAUCACUAAAUUGAUCACAAGACGGGAAACCUUCAACCGCACACAUCAUGAGUUUGGUUCGUGGUUACAAUUCUCAUUGCUGUGUCUAUGAGCUACUCUCAAUCUGGGGACACAGAAGGAUGCAGAUAUAUGGAUGUAUCAGCAAUAGCCUAGAUUUGUACAACUCGCUGAGAUACGUCAACUCAGUCGAGGGUAGAGAUUUAAGAUGGAUCGCAUGACUAGUUACUAUUAAACAAAGUCAUUAGUGGUCCUCCAGUUGAUGCAAACAGUCACCAGUCAUUACACUAUUUAUCAAAUGAAUAUUUAAUGUAUUUGGUGAUAGUCUUCCAUUCUUUGUUAAAAGACCGACCUGCAAAAUAAGAAUGAAAGAUUUCAAUGUACAUUCGAGUAAUUAUUCUAUGGU